rnacentral:rRNA from 1 species
GAUGAACGCUGGCGGCGUGCUUAACACAUGCAAGUCGAACGGAAAGGCUCCUGCUUGCAGGGGUACUCGAGUGGCGAACGGGUGAGUAACACGUGGGUGAUCUGCCCUGCACUUCGGGAUAAGCCUGGGAAACUGGGUCUAAUACCGGAUAGGACGAUGGUUUGGAUGCCAUUGUGGAAAGUUUUUCGGUGUGGGAUGAGCUCGCGGCCUAUCAGCUUGUUGGUGGGGUAAUGGCCUACCAAGGCGUCGACGGGUAGCCGGCCUGAGAGGGUGUACGGCCACAUUGGGACUGAGAUACGGCCCAGACUCCUACGGGAGGCAGCAGUGGGGAAUAUUGCACAAUGGGCGCAGGCCUGAUGCAGCGACGCCGCGUGGGGGAUGACGGCCUUCGGGUUGUAAACUCCUUUCGCUAGGGACGAGCGCAAGUGACGGUACCUGGAGAAGAAGCACCGGCUAACUACGUG